AGUGAACGCUGGCGGUAGGCCUAACACAUGCAAGUCGAACGGCAGCACAGUAAGAGCUUGCUCUUACGGGUGGCGAGUGGCGGACGGGUGAGGAAUGCAUCGGAAUCUACUUUUUCGUGGGGGAUAACGUAGGGAAACUUACGCUAAUACCGCAUACGACCUACGGGUGAAGGCAGGGGAUCUUCGGACCUUGCGCGAUUGAAUGAGCCGAUGUCGGAUUAGCUAGUUGGCGGGGUAAAGGCCCACCAAGGCGACGAUCCGUAGCUGGUCUGAGAGGAUGAUCAGCCACACUGGAACUGAGACACGGUCCAGACUCCUACGGGAGGCAGCAGUGGGGAAUAUUGGACAAUGGGCGCAAGCCUGAUCCAGCCAUACCGCGUGGGUGAAGAAGGCCUUCGGGUUGUAAAGCCCUUUUGUUGGGAAAGAAAAGCAGCAGGUUAAUACCCCGCUGUUCUGACGGUACCCAAAGAAUAAGCACCGGCUAACUUCGUG
rnacentral:rRNA from 1 species